CCAGCAGUGUACUAAGAAGUUGAGAAAAUGUGGUGGUCCAUGAUGAACGUGUCCAAGAUUUUUGUGAUAAAAUAUUAAAUUCUCAGAAAAUAUUUAUUACAAUUUCACUUAUUUGAGUCUUUGCCUUUAGUAAUGAAGUAAACAUUGUGUUACGGUUUGUUAAUAAAAAAAAGAUAAGGUAAUGAAAGUAAAAUAUUGAAGACCGAGCAAUUAAAUUAUUAAGUAACCUGUGUAUGCGCUAGGUAUAGUCGACUACUACUGUAAUUUUUACAUUCCAUCCAAAAAAUUAAAUAUUAGUCGUGUGGAAAUAAGGCAAGGAAUGUGUAGUGAGUAUUUUGAGUUUGACUUAAGACGCGACGAAGUUAAGUAAAACUAUAUACAUCCUUUGAAAAUUGACUCGUUUCACGAGAAAAGGCAUCCCGCUAGUGACGACGUCAAGGUCACGUUCGCACUUCUGCAUAUCUUGUUGGCGAGGUGCAGUAACGGUUCACUGCCCUACCGUCGGGAGGUUCAGACAGAGGAGGUAUUCACCUGGGUUCGCCUCUCUCGGCGCUAAUGUUAACAUACACUCAACACAGUGUCGUUUCUCCAUCAUUCCAGAACAGAUAGAGUAAGGGUGGUUACCAUGACAUUGUCCUCUUAGUAGCGAGCAGUGUUGCUGCAUUUCUUUAGUUAGGCCAGCCCUACUUAGUGGAGCCAGGUUGAAAAGCAAUAGGUUCGGUAUAGCAGUUUGAACACUGAGGAAUGGGAAGAUCAGGUUAUACUUGUGUUCGACACACACUGUGUUGCCUCAAUCUUAUUUUCUGG